GAUGAACGCUGGCGGCGUGCCUAAUACAUGCAAGUCGAGCGAACGGACGAGAAGCUUGCUUCUCUGAUGUUAGCGGCGGACGGGUGAGUAACACGUGGAUAACCUACCUAUAAGACUGGGAUAACUUCGGGAAACCGGAGCUAAUACCGGAUAAUAUUUUGAACCGCAUGGUUCAAAAGUGAAAGACGGUCUUGCUGUCACUUAUAGAUGGAUCCGCGCUGCAUUAGCUAGUUGGUAAGGUAACGGCUUACCAAGGCAACGAUGCAUAGCCGACCUGAGAGGGUGAUCGGCCACACUGGAACUGAGACACGGUCCAGACUCCUACGGGAGGCAGCAGUAGGGAAUCUUCCGCAAAGGGCGAAAGCCUGACGGAGCAACGCCGCGUGAGUGAUGAAGGUCUUCGGAUCGUAAAACUCUGUUAUUAGGGAAGAACAUAUGUGUAAGUAACUGUGCACAUCUUGACGAUACCUAAUCAGAAAGCCACGGCUAACUACGUG
rnacentral:rRNA from 1 species